AUGACUGAAAGAAGUAAAAGAGUAGAGGGAGGCGGGGGAAUAAACUGCAUAAAAAUACAAAUAUAUCUAUCUAUAUGUUUAUUUACAUAGAUAAAACACAGCGGUUGGGGGGGGGGUAUUCCUAUAGACAUAUAUCAUCAUUAUAAUAAUUUUGUGUUUAUUUCUUUUUCUUGUUUUUCCAUGCUGGCAUGGGUUGGACGGGUCAUUCAUGGUCUGCUUCGUCUUACAUGCUCACAUACAGAGCACUGCAUAAAACCCACUGUCUUCGAUGUUAUGUAUGUCUUAAGUGCAUCCUUUCAUGACCCUCCCUUCUCGCCACCAGAGAGGUUGUCCCAUGCAAAGAGGAAAUCAAGAGUCUCUCUCUCUGUACUCUGCAUCAGUUCUUAUUCGCAUGGGUGGCUUGCAAGUGUGGUCUGCAGAGUACAUGCCUUUGCCUUGCCUACAAUAGUAUGGUUCAUAAUGUGGCAAGCAGAACCUCUCUGGCUAAGUUCAUCUAUCAGAUGUUGACACACCUUCAUUAGAGCUUUAGAUUGCUCCAGCAUGUGUAUUCUCCAGCUCCUGUUAUCAUUUGAUAAAGGGAUAGAUAUAAUUAUAAUUUUGUUAUACAAGGUGCAGUUUUAUUAGAAAUGCUUUAAUUGUUAUCUGUAAUGUAUGUGUGCAUAGACUUGUGCUAGCUUUAGCCAUGCUGAGACACUACCAUUCUUAUAUACAUAUAUAUAUAUAUAUAUAUACAGACACAUUUUUACACCUUAUCUCAUAGUUGUAAUAGUUUUUGGCAGUUAACUUUAUUAACACCUACUGCCUGCUCUGAGUAUGUAUAGCAUGUGCCUGAUUCAGACAUUCACACACACACAGCCGUUUUAGACAAACUAUAAUUCCAGCUUCUAAUUUCAUCCUUCUAAUCAUUGCACCCCUUUUUUUUUUUACUUUAAACCUUGCUUAAAACCAUCCUAAAAUGGUAAUGCAUUGAUUCCAAACAUGGACAAAUAUAUAUGGACAAAGGGAAAAAGGUGAGAAAGAUAAGUGUGGUUUAAUAGUCCAUGCUGGAGCAGACUUGUUAAAUAUCUAGGUUUAAAGGGUUGUAUGUACCAUGGUGUCUGUGUCUGGUUUGACAAUCACAGUUUAAUUAGGUAGAUUGUUAAUUAAAGAAUUAGGGAUUCAAAUCUUGUAAUCUGUGGUGCAGUGUCUGUGGGCCCAGUUCAGCUGGUUGUAAAUAUGUUGGCAGAGAGUGGGUGCUACUCCCUAUCAUGAGGACAUACAUAGUGCACACACAUAUAUUUAUACUAAACACUCACCAACAUACACAACACACAUCUACUGAUAACACAGUGGGAGCACUAAAAAUUGACGAGUAUUUCUCUUUAGUUUGCAACUCUAAAUUUGCUUCUCUGGUUUGGGCAGGGAUGCAGUCUUCGGUGAUUUGUCUAUUAUAAACUCACUACCACUGUUAUAACCCCACCACUGAAAACUCCCCGGCCUUGUGGAGCAAUGUGUUAAUUAUACAUAUUGCCCCUGUUCCCGUGUAAGGCUUUGCUGGUGACCCAAAUGGAGUUAGACAGCAACUCUACCCCAGGGAAAGUACACGACGGUGUUUUUAAGUUUUAUAGUUUAAGCUGCGGAAUACGAGUGAAUAAUGGGCAACUGACAGAGAAAUGUUUACAAAGCUGGGCUACAAACUUCCUAAUGACAGUUCAAAUCUUGUUAGGGUCGACUUUUAUCUUUUGCCCUUUUAUGAACAAGAUCAGGGGAUGGAAAUAUGUCUCAUAAAACACUUUAUUUUAUAUAUAUAAAAUCAUCCACCAGGAGAGAGAGGUACCUUAUGUCAAGUUUAAUCUUUGUGUCAUUAAUGAAGAUCUUGCUGUAUAGUACCUUUACUACUCCAUGGCUUUUUUUUUUUUUGGAGGGGUUGUUUUUUUAACUGAGUCAUCACACCAUCAUCAUCAUCAUCAUAACCAUUUCAGUCUUCACUCAGUGACUUGCUUCUCCUCACCCCACCCCCACCUUAUUUAUACUCAGUCAGCUUGCCUUCCUAUAUAAAUUAUGGUUGAUUUUUUUUGUAGUUUUUUUUUCUUAUACAAAAAAAAAAAAAGGAAAAAUUGUUUUUAAAAACGACUGGCAAAAUUUUUUUUAACGCUUUUUUUUUUCUGUGUGUGUAUAAAACUCCUAGAAAUAUAAAACCCUUCCAUCCUAAACCCCUGACCUCUUCCCCCACCCACCCCCACCCCUUCCCGACUCAAGUUUGUUCUUUAAUAACUUCAUUGAGAUGCAGGUUACUCAAACAGUCAAGGACAUCUUCAGAGUCAAUCUGAAACUCAUAUCAAGACUGUUCCAUCUAUUUGUAAUAUUAUUAUUAAUAUUAUUAUUAUUAUUAUAAUAAAAAUUAGGAUUAUCAAUUUAUCUACCAUACAAGGAAAUCCAAAUGUAUUUGAACAUGGAAAUAUUACAUCUUCCAAGGGUUUAUGAUUAAAA
rnacentral:lncRNA from 1 species